rnacentral:tRNA from 1 species
GCCAGUGUGGCAUAGCGGUUUGAGCGUUGGACUACAACUCUGGAGCUCAGGGUUCAAUUCCUAGCUCAGCCC